rnacentral:rRNA from 1 species
AGCGAACGCUGGCGGCAGGCUUAACACAUGCAAGUCGAGCGCCCCGCCAGGGGAGCGGCCGACGGGAGAGUAACACGUGGGAACAUACCUUUUGGUUCGGAACAACUGAGGGAAACUUCAGCUAAUACCGGAUAAGCCCUUACGGGGAAAGAUUUAUCGCCGAAAGAUUGGCCCGCGUCUGAUUAGCUAGUUGGUGAGGUAACGGCUCACCAAGGCGACGAUCAGUAGCUGGUCUGAGAGGAUGAUCAGCCUCACUGGGACUGAGACACGGCCCAGACUCCUACGGGAGGCAGCAGUGGGGAAUAUUGGACAAUGGGGGCAACCCUGAUCCAGCCAUGCCGCGUGAGUGAUGAAGGCCUUAGGGUUGUAAAGCUCUUUUGCCCGGGAAGAUAAUGACGGUACCGGGAGAAUAAGCCCCGGCUAACUUCGUG